UAUGGUCCAUGUUCAGCAAUGUUGUCCGGCCAGGCUGCAUCAGGCUCCGCAGGAAACGUUCCGUGCAAGUCCUACGACGUACGAAAGCCGAGAAAGUCUUUCCCACCCUACAGAGAGAGACUGUUGAGUCCAUUUGUUCAGAAAACAGAGUGCUUAGAAGCUCUGAAAGCCUCCGAUCACUGUGCACCCCCGGAAAGAGUUCUAGCAUAGCCUGGGCCACAGGCAGAAGCAGGUGCAGAGGCAGCCUGGGAGAGGCUCAGCAUCCGGGAACCAGCAGCAGAUGGACGGGGUAAGUGCCAGGACAAGGGGGAUGAUAUUCAGGGCCAGCGAGGGCAAGGCACUCUGGAUGAAUGUAAGAGGAUGCCUUGGAUGUCUGGCUUGAGUAUACUUCACUGGUUUUUUCUCAUUUUCUUUUUCCCUUUCCUAGGCAGGUUUUCAGAUCCCUGGACAAAGGCCUGCAUGGGAUGAAGUACUGCCUCAUUAGCUGGGUCAAGACGGGCAAGCGGGAAGCCAGGCUGUGAGGGAGCAUCAACUGGUGCCUCCCCAGAGCAGGAGACUUCACAGUACCUACCCAAGUGGCAAAUGCCUCUUUUGCUUGGGCAAGCAGUGUCAUCUGGCAGUUCACCUGAGGAGGCUCAUGCUUCUCGGUGAAAAAUGACUGUGAACUGUUCCUCCUUGUGACCUUGUUUGUGAAAACAAAAGUUAGGAAACAAUGCAAAUCUCCAAUAAUAAGUCUGGUUACACAAUGUAUGAUACAUUCAUAUAAUGGAAUAUUAUGCAGUAUUUGUAAAAAUGAAUACAGAGGUGUUUUAUGAGCAAAUUUAAAAUUUCCAAAGUUAAACAAGGUACAAACAGGAUACUUUUACUUUAAAGAUGUGGUAAACAACAAUAUACAUUUUCACUAGUUUCUAUUUACAUAAAGAUGUUCUGGAAGUUUAUACCAGAGACUAGUUAAUAAAAGUCCUUAUGUAAGGCAGAGAGGGGAUUGGGAAUGGGUAAAUGGAGAAGAAAGAGUUUACGCUGUAGAGCUUUUCUAUUAUUUGAUAUAUGAACCAAGUGUAUUACCUGCUCAAAAUACUAAAUUUAAAAUUUACUGGGGAGCAGAGGUGGCUCAAGCAGUUGGGUGCCUGCUUCCCACAUGGGAGGUCCCAGGUUCAGUUCCCAGGUCCCUAAUACCUCCUAAAAACAAACAAAAACAAGCAACAAAUGAAAAAGCCAAUCCAGGGGAGCCAAUGUGACUCAGUGGUUGAGCACCAGCUUCCCACAGAUGAGGUCCCAGGUUCAAUCCCUGGCCCUGGUACCUCAAAAAAAAAAAAAAAUUGAAAAAAGGACUUACAUAACAAUGGCCCGGCCUCCCAAACUUUGGGCAUGGCUGACCCUGCCCUCCCACCGCCUCCUGCAUGUGACUUCUUGGUCGUGGACCCCAUUACAGAAGGGGCUCUGAGAGGGGAGAACUUAGGUGAGCUUAUCUACCUUGGGAAGGGAGGAGUAAAACCUGGUAUCCCAGGCAAAGAGAGCUGUGCCAGGGCCCCUUGGGGUACAGGUG
rnacentral:lncRNA from 1 species